GGCCGCGUGGCCUAAUGGCUAAGGCGUCAGAUUUCGGCUCUGAAGAUUCCAGGUUCGACUCCUGGCGUGGUCG
rnacentral:tRNA from 1 species